AGCGAACGCUGGCGGCAUGCUUAACACAUGCAAGUCGCACGGGCAGGGCAACCUGUCAGUGGCGGACGGGUGAGUAACGCGUAGGAAUCUAUCCUUGGGUGGGGGACAACCGUGGGAAACUACGGCUAAUACCGCAUGAUCCCUGAGGGGCAAAGGCGAAAGUCGCCUGAGGAGGAGCCUGCGUCUGAUUAGGUAGUUGGU
rnacentral:rRNA from 1 species